GCAGCCUUUUAUUCUGUGACACAGUUUACACAAACACCCAUUGUAAAACCCCCUAUGGUUUUUAAUCAAAAAUACAUAGUAUGAGUCUAAUUAAUAUGUUGAAUAAGAAAUGCAGAGUAAAUCAAAUUAUUCUAAUGUCUAGAAUUUAUGUGUGUAGACAUGAUUCAGCUUCAACCUUGGCUGAUAAAGGUCAUGGUGAACUACCUGUGUUUUUCCACUGUUUCCCAGUGUAUCCACCUCUGGGUGGAGCCCUCAUCAGUCCACCUGCUCAGCUCACCUGAUAGAGAUCGAGGACAAUCAGCACAGCAGUAUUUAGGACCAAGUCUUCUCCGCCAGUUUGUCAGCUAACCUUAACAUUAGUAAAAGGCUGCCUUUGCUUCAUACUCUUUGUUUCUAUGUUGUGCCUCUAGUCAUCUCUCAGAGCCAUCAUCCCACUUACCUGAGGCUUGCAUUCUCAGCAUGUUGGUCACCACGUAAAGACUCUCAAUCCUUUUCACCUGCCUGCCCCCCUGCCUUUGCUGCUCUGGCUCUCUGGAUAAACCAGGUUGGACUCUCUCCAAUCACCCACCUUCCAGGAUGCUCACUUGGCCAUUACCUCUCCCUCCUGACCCACACACACUCCACCUGCCAAUUCCAUCACAGUUCAUCAUCAGAUACUCCUCACUAAGCAUUCCUUCCUUGUGCCAUUGUUUAUUCUUGUGCUUAUCAAUAAAGCUUGUGAGAAUUCCU